rnacentral:rRNA from 1 species
AUUUGUCUGGUUAAUUCCGAUAACGAACGAGACCUUAACCUGCUAACUAGAUCUUAUUAUCUUAUAAUUUGCAUCUUCUUAGAGGGACUAUGUAAUCUAAAUACAUGGAAGUUUGAGGCAAUAACAGGUCAGUGAUGCCCUUAUAUGUCCUGGGCUGCACGCGUGCUACACUGAUGCAUACAACAAGUGCCUAACCAGACAUGGUAUGGCAAUCUCGAAUAUGCAUCGUGAUGGGGAUAGAUCUUUGCAAUUAUAGAUCUUGAACGAGGAAUUCCUAGUAAGUGCAAGUCAUCAUCUUGCAUUGAUUAUGUCCCUGCCCCUUGUACACACCGCCCGUCGCUCCUACCGAUACCGGGUGAUCCGGUGAACCUUUUGGACUCUUUAUGGGAAAGAUAAGUAAACCAUAUCACCUAGAGGAAGGAGAAGUCGUAACAAGGUUUCCGUAGGUGAACCUGCRGAAGGAUCA